UACGGGGGGGCAAGCGUUGUUCGGAAUUACUGGGCGUAAAGGGCUCUUAGGCGGCCAACUAAGUCAGACGUGAAAUCCCUCGGCUUAACCGGGGAACUGCAUCUGAUACUGGAUGGCUUGAGUUCGGGAGAGGGAUGCGGAAUUCCAGGUGUAGCGGUGAAAUGCGUAGAUAUCUGGAGGAACACCGGUGGCGAAGGCGGCAUCCUGGACCGACACUGACGCUGAGGAGCGAAAGCCAGGGGAGCAAACGGG
rnacentral:rRNA from 1 species